GCCACCCAGUAAUCAGCACAAGUUAGAAUGUGGGCAACUCAGCAGUCGUUGCGCAGGCACUUUGGUGACUCUAGAUAACCUCGUGCCAAUCGCACAUCCCCAUGACAGCGACGACAGCGACGGAUGUCUGCCCUAUCAGCUUUCUAUGGUACUUUCUGCGCCUACCAUGGUGACCACGGGUAACGGGGAAUCAAGGUUCGAUUCCGGAGAGGGAGCAUGAGAAACAGCUACCACAUCCAAGGAAGGCAGCAGGCG
rnacentral:rRNA from 1 species